rnacentral:rRNA from 1 species
AGAGUUUGAUCAUGGCUCAGAAUCAACGCUGGCGGCGUGCCUCAGACAUGCAAGUCGAACGCGAAAGGCCCCUUCGGGGGCCGAGUAGAGUGGCGCACGGGUGAGUAACACGUAGGUAAUCUACCUCUGGGUGGGGAAUAACAGCCGGAAACGGCUGCUAAUACCGCAUAACGCAGCGGCACCACAUGGUGACAGUUGUUAAAGCGGGGGAUCUUCGGACCUCGCGCCUAGAGAGGAGCCUGCGGCGGAUUAGCUAGUUGGUGAGGUAAUGGCUCACCAAGGCAACGAUCCGUAGCCGGCCUGAGAGGGCGGUCGGCCACACUGGCACUGACAUACGGGCCAGACUCCUACGGGAGGCAGCAGUCGGGAAUUUUGGGCAAUGGGCGAAAGCCUGACCCAGCAACGCCGCGUGGAGGAUGAAGUUUCUCGGAAUGUAAACUCCGUAAGAAUGGGACGAAUAAGGAGGGGUUAACACCCCCUUCGAUGACGGUACCAUUCGUAAGCUCCGGCUAACUCCGUGCCAGCAGCCGCGGUAAUACGGGGGGAGCAAGCGUUGUUCGGAUUUACUGGGCGUAAAGGGCGCGUAGGCGGCGCAACAAGUCAGUUGUGAAAUCUCUGGGCUCAACUCAGAGCGCCAACUGAUACUGUCGUGCUAGAGUGCGGAAGGGGCUACUGGAAUUCUCGGUGUAGCGGUGAAAUGCGUAGAUAUCGAGAGGAACACCUGUGGCGAAGGCGGGUAGCUGGCCGACACUGACGCUGAGGCGCGAAAGCUAGGGGAGCGAACGGGAUUAGAUACCCUAGUAGUCC